rnacentral:ncRNA from 1 species
GAAAGCCGGAUGAAGCGAAACUUUCCUGUACGGUUUGGAGGAGGGGAAAAGGUGGCGAUCACUUCAAAACCUUACCUAUUCCUAU